rnacentral:rRNA from 1 species
UCCGCCGGUGAACCAGCGGAGGAUCAUUA